GCCAAUCCACCACUGUCCUCGUGACGGGA
rnacentral:sRNA from 1 species